AGAGUUUGAUCCUGGCUCAGGAUGAACGCUAGCGGCAGGCUUAAUACAUGCAAGUCGUGGGGCAGCAUGACUGUAGCAAUACAGUUGAUGGCGACGGGCAAACGGGUGCGGAACACGUACACAACCUUCCUUUUAGUGGAGAAUAGCCCAGGGAAACUUGGAUUAAUACUCCGUAACAUAUAGAAGUGGCAUCACUUUUAUAUUAUAGCAGCAAUGCGCUAGAAGAUGGGUGUGCGGCUGAUUAGAUAGUUGGCGGGGUAACGGCCCACCAAGUCGACGAUCAGUAACUGGUGUGAGAGCACGACCAGUCACACGGGCACUGAGACACGGGCCCGACUCCUACGGGAGGCAGCAGUAAGGAAUAUUGGUCAAUGGACGCAAGUCUGAACCAGCCAUGCCGCGUGGAGGAUGAAGGCCCUCUGGGUUGUAAACUUCUUUUAUUGGGGAAGAAACCUGUUUUUUCUAAAGCAGUUGACGGUACCCGAUGAAUAAGCACCGGCUAACUCCGUGCCAGCAGCCGCGGUAAUACGGAGGGUGCAAGCGUUAUCCGGAUUCACUGGGUUUAAAGGGUGCGUAGGUGGGCAGGUAAGUCAGUGGUGAAAUCUCUGGGCUUAACCCAGAAACUGCCGUUGAUACUAUCUGUCUUGAAUGUAGUGGAGGUGAGCGGAAUAUGUCAUGUAGCGGUGAAAUGCUUAGAUAUGACAUAGAACAUCUAUUGCGAAGGCAGCUCGCUACCUAUUAUNNCACUGAGGCACGAAAGCGUGGGGAUCAAACAGGAUUAGAUACCCUAGUAGUCC
rnacentral:rRNA from 1 species